GACGAACGCUGGCGGCGUGCCUAAUACAUGCAAGUCGAGCGAACUUGCGGGAGCUUGCUCCCAAAAGUUAGCGGCGGACGGGUGAGUAACACGUGGGCAACCUGCCUAUAAGACUGGGAUAACUUCGGGAAACCGGAGCUAAUACCGGAUAAUUCUUUUCUACACAUGUAGAAAAGCUGAAAGACGGUUUACGCUGUCACUUAUAGAUGGGCCCGCGGCGCAUUAGCUAGUUGGUGAGGUAACGGCUCACCAAGGCCACGAUGCGUAGCCGACCGGAGAGGGUGAUCGGCCACACUGGGGCUGAGACACGGCCCAGACUCCUACGGGAGGCAGCAGUAGGGAAUCUUCCGCAAUGGACGAAAGUCUGACGGAGCAAAGCCGCGUGAGUGAUGAAGGUUUUCGGAUCGUAAAACUCUGUUGUUAGGGAAGAACAAGUACGAGAGUAACUGCUCGUACCUUGACGGUACCUAACCAGAAAGCCACGGCUAACUACGUGCCAGCAGCCGCGGUAA
rnacentral:rRNA from 1 species